GUAGAUUCGACCACGGAAGUCCAUGAAGGCAGGCAAAUCAAAUUGAUAACCAUCGUAUGCAGACGCAAGUCUUAUUAUGAGAGACAUCGUUGGUAUUACACAAAGAUCAUUAUCACAUCGAAGUAAUUAUUACAACAAUUUCAAGCCAUGUGUUGUGCUUUAAUAUACAAAAUAGCUCGUGCAAAUCAUCAUCAUCAUCAUCAUCAUUGCAUUAUAAACUGGCCAUAUUGUG
rnacentral:lncRNA from 1 species